rnacentral:misc_RNA from 1 species
GAAAUGCGAUAAGUAAUGUGAAUUGCAGAAUUCAGUGAAUCAUCGAAUCUUUGAACGCACAUUGCGCCCGCCAGUAUUCUGGCGGGCAUGCCUGUCCGAGCGUCAUUUCAACCAUCAAGCCCCCGGGCUUGUGUUGGGGACCUGCGGCUGCCCGCAGGCCCUGAAAACCAGUGGCGGGCUCGCUGUCACACCGAGCGUAGUAGCAAUCACCUCGCUCAGGGCGUGCUGCGGGUUCCGGCCGUUAAACAGCUUUACAAAACCCAAGGUUGACCUCGGAUCAGGUAGGAAGACCCGCUGAACUUAAGC